rnacentral:RNase_P_RNA from 1 species
CGAGUCGGCCAGAUGACCGCGGUGCCUUGGCGCUGAGGAAAGUCCGGACUCCACAGGGCAGGGUGGUGGAUAACAUCCACCCGGGGUGACCCGCGGGACAGUGUCACAGAAAACAAACCGCCCGAGCAAUCGGGUAAGGGUGAAACGGCGGUGCAAGAGACCACCGCGUCGCAGGUGACUGCGGCGGCAUGGCAAACCCCACCCGGAGCAAGACCAAGAAGGACCUUCGGGUCCGCGCAGGCGUUCGAGGGCUGCCCGCCCGAGUCUGCGGGUAGGUUGCACGCCCGGUGCGCGAGUGCCGGGGGAAGGCCGCUGGCAACAGCGGUCGCAGAUGGAUGGUCAUCGGCUCAUCGAGCCACAGAAUCCGGCUUAUCGGCCGACUCGUCAC